rnacentral:rRNA from 1 species
AGCGAACGCUGGCGGCAGGCCUAACACAUGCAAGUCGAACGAAGCCUUCGGGCUUAGUGGCGGACGGGUGAGUAACACGUGGGAACGUACCUUUUGGUUCGGAAUAACGCAGAGAAAUUUGCGCUAAUACCGAAUGAGCCCUUAGGGGGAAAGAUUUAUCGCCGAAAGAUCGGCCCGCGUUGGAUUAGGUAGUUGGUGUGGUAAAGGCGCACCAAGCCUACGAUCCAUAGCUGGUCUGAGAGGAUGAUCAGCCACACUGGGACUGGAGACACGGCCCAGACUCCUACGGGAGGCAGCAGUGGGGAAUCUUGCGCAAUGGGCGAAAGCCUGACGCAGCCAUGCCGCGUGAAUGAUGAAGGUCUUAGGAUUGUAAAAUUCUUUUACCAGGGACGAUAAUGACGGUACCUGGAGAAAAAGCCCCGGCUAACUUCGUGCCAGCAGCCGCAGUAACAC